rnacentral:rRNA from 1 species
GUGCCAGCAGCCGCGGUAAUACCGGCAGCACGAGUGAUGACCGCUAUUAUUGGGCCUAAAGCGUCCGUAGCUGGCCACGCAAGUCUAUCGGGAAAUCCGCGCGCUUAACGCGCGGGCGUCCGGUGGAAACUGCGUGGCUUGGGACCGGAAGACCAGAGGGGUACGUCCGGGGUAGGAGUGAAAUCCCGUAAUCCUGGACGGACCACCGGUGGCGAAAGCGCCUCUGGAAGACGGAUCCGACGGUGAGGGCCGAAAGCCCGGGUCACGAACCGGAGUAGAAGCCCGCGUAGUCC